AGUGAACGCUGGCGGCGUGCCUAAUACAUGCAAGUCGAACGGAGUGGCGCACGGGCGAGUAAUGUAUAGCUCUCUGCCCUACACUAGAGGACAACAGUUGGAAACGGCUGCUAAUACUCUAUAGUGUAGGAUGAGGCUAUAUUGUAUAAGCUGGUUGGUGAGGUAAUGGCGCACCAAGGCUAUGACGCAGAACUGGUCUGAUCGGAUGAUCAGUCACACUGGAACGGAGACACGGUCCAGACUCCUACGGGAGGGAGCAGUAGGGAAGAUUGCGCAAGGGGGGAAACCCUGAAGCAGCAACGCCGCGUGGAGGAUGACACUUUUCGGAGCGUAAACUCCUUUUGUUAGGGAAUCGGUACCGAACGAAUAAGCACCGGCUAACUCCGUGCCAGCCGCCGCGGUAAUAC
rnacentral:rRNA from 1 species